GCCGAAGUGGCGGAAUGGUAGACGCGGCGGUCUCAAAAACCGCUGGGGCUUGGCCCCCGUGAGGGUUCGACUCCCUCCUUCGGCACCA
rnacentral:tRNA from 1 species